CCGCGAGCGCGCUGGUUUUGUUGUUGUUGUUGUGAAGACGGUCCCGGUCCCCUUUAAGCCGGAACACGCAGGGCGGAAGUGCGUCACGAGCGGCUCGCCCUGGAGCGAGGCCCUCCAGGUCCGGCAGCCGCCGCCCGCCUGGCGAGGCCCUGGCCGGCCCCGGACUCCGCGGGCCGAGUUCCGGGUCGCUUCGAGGCCGUUCGGGUGCGUCGAGCGCGCUAGGCCGAACCAUUCGCUCUGCCCGCCCUCCCCAGCGGCACUCGGGCCUCUCUACCAGCUCCGCGGACGUCAGUGCAUUCUGUUUUGACCACACCCCGAAGACUUGGGAAGUGUUCCUCAUCUUUAGAGUUGUCUCUGCAAAAGUUAUUGACCUUCCUGAUGCUGAAUCAAACGUCUGCCCGUAAUUCCUUGUAUCGACUGUCUGCAAAGCACAGUAGUAGCUGGAACUUUGGGGAGGGAGACGCUGUGGAUACGUUGCUUAAGGAGAAGCCUUUCAAUUAAACCUUAAGUCUGCCUCUACUUUCCGUGUGACCCUGGCUGAACUUCCCGAGUCUCAGUUUACUUCUCUAAAUGGGGACGGCAGUGCCUACCUGCCUGUGUGCUGUUGAUUAAAUGAGCUGUGUAGCCACCUGAUUAAGUCCCUAAAAAUGCUUUUGAUGCUGCUGAACCUGGCCACAAUAAAAACAAUUAUAUGUUCAUUAAAACCAAUCCACUGCCUUUCCACAAGCCCAGCUGAGACCCUGUAAGUUCAGAGAGGCCCAGCUAUGCCACAGGAGAUAAGAUGGACCUCACGCUACCAGGCAUGCACGUCUACCUCCCCCUUAUUAAGAGCUCAGUGUGCCCAGGUACAAUUAUGUAUGCCACAUUUGUGCACAAUAUCACCGAGUCUCAAAACCCAAGCCCACAGAUCUGAGGCCAGUGAUGCUAGUUAACCCUCACAGGGCUUCCCACGUGCCAGGCACUGUGUGCAGUUCUUCAAGUGCAUCAACUCAUUUCAUCCUUCAACAACCUUACAUGGUGAGAGCCACCUGGCAUGCAGACAAAGGAUCCAAUGCUGUGGAAGGCAUGGCUACAGCAGUAGAAGACCAGUCCCACAGAACCUCCCCACACUUCCCACUGACUGGCAUCCCAUUAUGGGUUCCAACAAGAAACACCUUCUAGCAAACUCUGUUGUUAGAACAGCUUCCCUGAGAACAGGAACCAGGGAAGCAGUCAGCGGCAGCCCAGCUUGACCAUCUCAUAUUGUCUAUUUCACUCCAGCAACUAAGCUUUAACUGCUUAUCCUUCAGCUCUUAGCUGCUUGUCCAUGAAGGAACUUAUCCGCAUUUCCCAGAUGGGAGGUAAGAUUCAAAGAGGUGCCAAGCUGGUUAAGAGGCAGAGCCAAGAUUCAAAAUCAAAG